GGUUGCCAUAACAUCAGUAUUAAUGCAUUGGAUUUCAUCAGAUUUUCAUAAUUAAACGUGUUUGAACGAGAAUAGUAUUAAGAUAAGUGACUCACCCAGAAAUUUUUAUAUUGCAUAUA
rnacentral:rRNA from 1 species